rnacentral:rRNA from 1 species
AUUAACAGGAUUAGAUACCCUGGUAGUCCACGCCGUAAACGGUGGGCACUAGAUGUGGGGCUCAUUCCAUGAGUUCCGCGUCGCAGCUAACGCAUUAAGUGCCCCGCCUGGGGAGUACGGCCGCAAGGCUAAAACUCAAAGGAAUUGACGGGGGCCCGCACAAGCGGCGGAGCAUGCGGAUUAAUUCGAUGCAACGCGAAGAACCUUACCAAGGCUUGACAUAUACCCUCUACCCCCAGAGAUGGGGGGUGCUUCGGCGGGGUAUACAGGUGGUGCAUGGUUGUCGUCAGCUCGUGUCGUGAGAUGUUGGGUUAAGUCCCGCAACGAGCGCAACCCUCGUCCUAUGUUGCCAGCACGUAAUGGUGGGGACUCAUAGGAGACUGCCGGGGUCAACUCGGAGGAAGGUGGGGAUGACGUCAAAUCAUCAUGCCCCUUAUGUCUUGGGCUUCACGCAUGCUACAAUGGCCGGUACAAAGGGCUGCAAUACCGUAAGGUGGAGCGAAUCCCAAAAAGCCGGUCUCAGUUCGGAUUGAGGUCUGCAACUCGACCUCAUGAAGUCGGAGUCGCUAGUAAUCGCAGAUCAGCAACGCUGCGGUGAAUACGUUCCCGGGCCUUGUACACACCGCCCGUCAAGUCACGAAAGUCGGUAACACCCGAAGCCAGUGGCCUAACCCGUAAGGGGAGGAGCUGUCUAAGGUGGGAUUGGCGAUUGGGACUAAGUCGUAACA